rnacentral:rRNA from 1 species
UACGGAGGAUGCAAGCGUUAUCCGGAAUGAUUGGGCGUAAAGCGUCCGCAGGUGGCUGUGUAAGUCUGCUGUUAAAGAGUGAGGCUCAACCUCAUAAAGGCAGUGGAAACUACAUGGCUAGAGUGCGUUCGGGGCAGAGGGAAUUCCUGGUGUAGCGGUGAAAUGCGUAGAGAUCAGGAAGAACACCGGUGGCGAAGGCGGCUCUCUGGGACGGUACUGACGCUGAGACGCGAAAGCGUGGGGAGCGAACAGG